GAUGAACGCUGGCGGCGUGCUUAACACAUGCAAGUCGAGCGAAAAUAAUUAGGAGCUUGCUCUUGAUUAUUUUAGCGGCGGACGGGUGAGUAACGUGUGGGCAACCUGCCUUUUACUGGGGAAUAAUCACUGGAAACGGUGACUAAUACCGCAUACGGUUCUUAGAAGGCAUCUUCUAAGAAAGAAAGGAUUUAUUCGGUAAAAAAUGGGCCCGCAUCUGAUUAGCUAGUUGGUGAGAUAAUAGCCCACCAAGGCAACGAUCAGUAGCCGACCUGAGAGGGUGACCGGCCACAUUGGGACUGAGACACGGCCCAA
rnacentral:rRNA from 1 species